GAUGAACGCUGGCGGCGUGCCUAAUACAUGCAAGUCGAGCGAAUGGAUUAAGAGCUUGCUCUUAUGAAGUUAGCGGCGGACGGGUGAGUAACACGUGGGUAACCUGCCCAUAAGACUGGGAUAACUCCGGGAAACCGGGGCUAAUACCGGAUAACAUUUUGAACCGCAUGGUUCGAAAUUGAAAGGCGGCUUCGGCUGCCACUUAUGGAUGGACCCGGGUCGCAUUAGCUAGUUGGCGAGGUAACGGCUCACCAAGGCAACGAUGCGUAGCCGACCUGAGAGGGUGAUCGGCCACACUGGGACUGAGACACGGCCCAGACUCCUACGGGAGGCAGCAGUAGGGAAUCUUCCGCAAUGGACGAAAGUCUGACGGAGCAACGCCGCGUGAGUGAUGAAGGCUUUCGGGUCGUAAAACUCUGUUGUUAGGGAAGAACAAGUGCUAGUUGAAUAAGCUGGCACCUUGGCGGUACCUAACCAGAAAGCCACGGCUAACUACGUGCCAGCAGCCGCGGUAA
rnacentral:rRNA from 1 species